AACGCUAGCUACAGGCUUAACACAUGCAAGUCGAGGGGCAGCAUGGUCUUAGCUUGCUAAGGCCGAUGGCGACCGGCGCACGGGUGAGUAACACGUAUCCAACCUGCCGUCUACUCUUGGACAGCCUUCUGAAAGGAAGAUUAAUACAAGAUGGCAUCAUGAGUCCGCAUGUUCACAUGAUUAAAGGUAUUCCGGUAGACGAUGGGGAUGCGUUCCAUUAGAUAGUAGGCGGGGUAACGGCCCACCUAGUCUUCGAUGGAUAGGGGUUCUGAGAGGAAGGUCCCCCACAUUGGAACUGAGACACGGUCCAAACUCCUACGGGAGGCAGCAGUGAGGAAUAUUGGUCAAUGGACGAGAGUCUGAACCAGCCAAGUAGCGUGCAGGAAGACGGCCCUAUGGGUUGUAAACUGCUUUUAUAAGGGAAUAAAGUGAGUCUCGUGAGACUUUUUGCAUGUACCUUAUGAAUAAGGACCGGCUAAUUCCGUGCCAGCAGCCGCGGUAAUACGGAAGGUCCGGGCGUUAUCCGGAUUUAUUGGGUUUAAAGGGAGCGUAGGCCGGAGAUUAAGCGUGUUGUGAAAUGUAGAUGCUCAACAUCUGAACUGCAGCGCGAACUGGUUUCCUUGAGUACGCACAAAGUGGGCGGAAUUCGUGGUGUAGCGGUGAAAUGCUUAGAUAUCACGAAGAACUCCGAUUG
rnacentral:rRNA from 1 species